GCCAGGCAACCACCUAGCCUUACUCCUUUCCAGUUAUACAAUGUAUUUCUAGUUUGCUGAAACUGCACUGACCACACUGGAAUGAGCCCAGCUGCUAGUAAGUUCAUCCUGAGUUUCAUGUGACAUUCAUUUGUCAGGAUCCCAAGCAGCCUAAGAAAGAGAGAAUUCCCAUCUGGACAGGAAGUUUCUGCCAAGAGAUGACUCACUCCGUGGACACUCAUGCUUGCUGCUUUCUUAUUGAGUAGGCCAGAAGGAUGUCUUUGGCUAGGAAGGAAGAAGCUAGACCUGUAACUUCAACUACAGCAUAGUGGCUGCUCCUGUAGCUGCACAUCUCACUGGCAUUCUGCAAUACUUCUUCCUCCAGCCUCCCGCUCUCUGCUAACUUUGGAAGUUCCUGUUUCCAUCGUGGGUUGCUACCUCCUUUCCUGCCUUGAAGCUUGGUUAAUCUUCCAUUAAACAGCUAACAACAGCUUCAGCACCGGGGACAGUGUAUUUUAAUGAAGUGGUAAUGGGAUGGAGAGUCAGACGGUCUUGAUUAAAAUGGAGUACUCUGAUUAAAGAUUACAGUUGGUUCCCGUUUCUUCAUGCAAUUCUGAUUUUCCUUCUGGUUAGGAAGCUUCUUCCCAGUCAUAGAUGACUGCAG
rnacentral:lncRNA from 1 species